rnacentral:rRNA from 1 species
GACGAACGCUGGCGGCGUGCUUAACACAUGCAAGUCGAACGGUGAACUCCGCUUGCGGGGGGAUCAGUGGCGAACGGGUGAGUAACACGUGGGCAACCUGUACUCAGCUCUGGGAUAACUCCAAGAAAUUGGGGCUAAUACCGGAUAUGACCGCUGACCGCAUGGUCUGGUGGUGGAAAGAUUUAUCGGCUGGGGAUGGGCCCGCGGCCUAUCAGCUUGUUGGUGGGGUAGUGGCCUACCAAGGCGACGACGGGUAGCCGGCCUGAGAGGGUGACCGGCCACACUGGGACUGAGACACGGCCCAGACUCCUACGGGAGGCAGCAGUGGGGAAUAUUGCGCAAUGGGCGAAAGCCUGACGCAGCGACGCCGCGUGGGGGAUGACGGCCUUCGGGUUGUAAACCUCUUUCAGCAGGGACGAAGCGAAAGUGACGGUACCUGCAGAAGAAGCACCGGCCAACUACGUG